CCUACGGGAGGCAGCAGUGGGGAAUAUUGGACAAUGGGCGAAAGCCUGAUCCAGCAAUGCCGCGUGAGUGAUGAAGGCCUUAGGGUCGUAAAGCUCUUUUACCAGGGAUGAUAAUGACAGUACCUGGAGAAUAAGCUCCGGCUAACUCCGUGCCAGCAGCCGCGGUAAUACGGAGGGAGCUAGCGUUGUUCGGAAUUACUGGGCGUAAAGCGUACGUAGGCGGUUAUUCAAGUCAGAGGUGAAAGCCCGGGGCUCAACCCCGGAACUGCCUUUGAAACUAGGUAGCUAGAGUCUUGGAGAGGUCAGUGGAAUUCCGAGUGUAGAGGUGAAAUUCGUAGAUAUUCGGAAGAACACCAGUGGCGAAGGCGACUGACUGGACAAGUACUGACGCUGAGGUACGAAAGCGUGGGGAGCAAACAGGAUUAGAUACCCUGGUAGUCCACGCCGUAAACGAUGAUAACUAGCUGUCCGGGUACUUGGUAUCUGGGUGGCGCAGCUAACGCAUUAAGUUAUCCGCCUGGGGAGUACGGUCGCAAGAUUAAAACUCAAAGGAAUUGACGG
rnacentral:rRNA from 1 species